UAUAACCCGUGGCCGCCAUGGCCCAUCUCCUCCGUUCCCUGUUGUUGAGGGUGGCUCUCUUUUCCUGUCAUUCAGACCUGAUCUCUGACCUGCCCAAGGAUGGCGUGAAUCUGAAAACAAUUCACAAUGGCAUGAAAUGCAAAGAUGUUGGCAUUCAUCAGAUGACUCAUUGCUGUUAGCUACACGCCACUCCUGAGAUACCAGUGCUCCUGACUCCUUCUGCCCUCCAGACCUGCCUGAUCCAUCCUGAUGGACCUACUUCUGCUUGAAGCCUCGCUCACCUGAAAAUCAUUUACUGCUGCUAGAAGAUUGCCCUGUAUGGACAGCCUACAGAUCACCAUGGGUUUACUGUGGAUGGUAAGACACAGAAACCCUAAAGAUGGCUGUGGAUGUUCUUUCAUGGAUAGCCUAAAGAUUGCAAUUGUUAAGAACAAGUCUCAAUCAUUGAACAGUUCAUAACUUCAGUUUGAUACAAGAAACUUUAACUUAAAACUCUACUGAUGCUCAUACUCAAGUUCCUUUUAACACAUUUAAGACUGCUUGACUUUAUAGUAUACAGUUAUAGAAGUAGAAUGAUUUAUAAUCACACUAUGGUGUCACCCAGAUGAGAAUGGGUUUCCAUUUGAGUCCCUUCAGGGUUUCUUCCAGUUCAUCACCUCUGGCUUGCUCAUUACGGAUAAAUUUAAAUUAAAAUUUUAUAUCCAGAUUUCUGCAAAGCUGCUUUGUGACAAUGUCCAUUGUUAAAAGUGUUAUACAAAUAAAAUUUAAUUGAACCACUCCUCAA